GAAGAAAUAGAUUGGAGCAUGAUAGAUUGAAUGACAUUGUUUAUGUUACCUAUAAUUUGCGUCUUAAAUCCAGGAAGGAAAAAGAAAAAAGAAAGCAAAAGACACAAUAUGAUCCAAUUGAUUAUGAAAGCAUCAGUCAAGUUGACUUUUGGGUGACUGAAGAGGUUGUAGAGAAAGAGCCUGAUCUUCCUAGUAAUGUGGAUGACUUAUUGCGUGAAAUUGAUGCUGAUUUAUAUCAAAGUGGCGGUGGUAGUAGUGGUCUUUAUGCUGCAUCUCUUAAUUCUUCUGCUCAACAGGGUGGGAAUGA